rnacentral:rRNA from 1 species
UACGAGGGGUGCAAGCGUUGCUCGGAAUUAUUGGGCGUAAAGGGUAGGUAGGUGGUCUCAUUUGUCUGUGGUGAAAGCCUUGGGCUUAACUCAAGAAGUGCCGCAGAAACGGUGAGACUGGAGUCCUGGAGAGGAAAGUGGAAUUCCUGGUGUAGCGGUGAAAUGCGUAGAUAUCAGGAGGAACACCGGUGGUGUAGACGGCUUUCUGGACCGUAACUGACGCUGAGACACGAAAGCGUGGGGUAGCAAACAGG